GCCCAGGUGGUGGAAUUGGCAGACACGCCAUCUUGAGGGGGUGGUGCUCUGUUGGGCGUGCGGGUUCGAAUCCCGCCCUGGGCACCA
rnacentral:tRNA from 1 species